AGAGUCCUCAUGCUGUAUGAUGGCAUGCAAUGCAAUGCAGCAGAUGUACUGCAGUAACACCAGAGCACCUUCUGGGAAGAAACCUGACCAAUGUGCCACGCUUACAAGAAAUAUGCAAAGAAAGAGUACAAGAAUUAAUGCACAACUCAAGGCAUGUCUGUGAUAUGCAAAGCAGCACAGAGAAGUAACAUCUGGGAAAGAAUCAAACGAACUCAUUCCAGAAAUGAAGCUGUUACAGCUGCAUUAGCCCAGGGUUGAGCCCAGGACAGCUGGCUAGCUGAGAGGCAGAGCUAGUCAUCCUGGGAUGAAAUCCAGUCCACUGAAAUCCCACUUUUUUCACAGACAGCAAAUCAGUCCACAUAUUUUUCUGGACUGCUCAUUAUAAAUCUCUCUAAAUUCAUUAAAGACGCCUUUAUUUCAUAGGAGGUAUUUUCCAGGUUUUUCCCUUAAAUGCUUGAGUCAAACUCUGCUGUGAUCAAAGUUCUAGUCCAGAUCCUAUACCAUUUUGUCUCCACUUAAUUCUUCUAGAAAGGUCUUUAAAGUUAGAGUUAGUGAGAACAAGAAUGUGGCACCAGUCAUUUUAUUCCUAGGAGUCCAAAAGCUACAGGAAAGUGAGCUCAGAUUUUACACGCUGCUUGCAUCAGAACACCGCAAAGUUAUUUUAUCUGGUCAGUUGUGGAGCCAAGCAUACAGGAGAUAAAAAGAAGUCAAAAAAAAAAAAAAAAAAAAAAAGAAAAAGAAAAGAAAGAAAAAGAAAAAAAAAGACAAGAAUCUAGAGAGGAAGAACAGGACCAUUGGAUCCUGCUCCUUGUAACAUUGACUAUGUGACUGGUAUAUUCCUGAAAGCAUGUAGUUUAUCUUCAUGGGGAAAGGGAGCCCACCAUAUGCUUGGCCUUGACUUUAUGUUCAGAGAACUUCUGUAGGCAAAAGGGAAUGAAACUCCCUUGGGGUUGUGUAGAACCCAGGACCAGGAUCUUGGGGAGACCCUCAGAUAUGAGGUCUUUAUUACAUAAAAUCUAGACUUGCGACUCCAUUUUAUAUUUUGUGUUCACCAUGAGAGCGUGGAUCUGGAUUCCACACUGAUGUCAUCACCUACAAUUUGCUUUUACUUCGAGCUCUCAGGGGAAGAUGCACAGUAAAGAGAAAUGGGUCCUUAGAAGUAUUUAUCUCUCUCUGUUAACUGUGCAUUGACCACUAUAGCUAAGUGGUCUCUACUUGUAUGUCCCCCCACUCCGAGUUACAACUUGGAGAGACCUCUGCUCAAAGAAGGAGACUAUACCAGGUCUGAGUAACAAGAAUGUUUUCAUCUGUUAAAAAUACAGAGGAAAAAGCACCUAGUAAAUUCAAAAGUGUGAAUAUUAAAAAUAGAACAGGAAAGAACUUUCAAUUAUUUCUCAUGGUUGCUCCUGAGUUUUAGUCUGUUAUCUUUGCUACCUGAGCUUCAUGCAGAAAUAAGAUACAGGAAACUGCAUAGUCAAACUGAGUGUUUUCAUAAGCAUUCUUUUCAUCUGUCACUUCUGCCCUUUUGAUCAAUGUGUAAGACUUCUACUCAUUUAGUGAAGAUGUGCACCACAGACAGCAUUCAGUACAGUUGCAACCACUGGCUGGUGAAGUGCUAAGGACCUUCAUGAAAUGCAAAGCAGCUAAAACUCACCAUGUCACCUCUCAUCUGCACUCUGUUUUUCCUCAAAAAAUUCCACCAGGUUUGUCAGACAUUAUUUCCACCCCAGAAACUGUUCUAAUUCCUUUAUAUCAGCUCGUAUUUUUCCAGAUGUUUUGUGAUCUCAUCCUAUACUAAUGUCUGCAAGACCUUGCCUACUGUCAGAAUCAAACUUUAUUGCAAAUCUGUAAGUCCCUGACUUCACCUUAGUCCUCUUCUUAUGGAAUGGUUUUACAUUCAUGUUG
rnacentral:lncRNA from 7 species